UGUCGUGGAAUAGUUACUUUUCUUACUGGUAGUAUUUGGUAGUAUUUAGGAAGUAUUAUAUUAAUAUUAAUAUUAAUACUAUCAAUGUAUAUACUGUAUAUAUAUUAUUCGCAAUCUUGUACCCAUCGUUGAUAAUGUUUUAUUAUUAUUAAAAUAUGGAACGUAAAUGAUCAAAGGAUAGACAAGGAGUAGUAACGAAUUUCAAAAACAUGAUAAGAGAAAAAAAGAAAAAUGAUAAAAUAAGAAAUUAAAUUUUGUAUUAAAGUUUUAUAUCUUCAUGUAUAAAGGGAGUAUUGAAAAAAUGUAUAGUUUCAUAUUUAACAUUUAUCUAGAGAAAUUUGCACGGUAUCACCAGACAAAUGGCAAUCGUCUCUGGCUAUAAACAAUUUGUGUAAAUUCCUUUAAAACAAUGUAAUGUAGCGGUCUUUAUGCGUGUACAAUUAAUUGAAUUGUAACUAAAAAUAAGCGAUAAACAUCUGGGAUGUGUCAACGAAUCUUCAAAGAAAGAUUUUUGUUGAUUAUUUAGCAUGAUUUUUAAGUGGUGAGGAAGGAUUUCGUACUGACACAAUGUAUGCGAUUUCCGAGUAAUCUUCAUAAGUUUAAAAUGUUAAGUGUCCCCUGUCGAUAAAUGUUUAAAGAGUUCUCAUAAUCGGUGGGAAAAUUAUCAUAACUGAAUAAAGGAAGAUCAGCUUUCCAAGUAAUCGAAGACGCAGUUGUUUGAAAUCGUACGAUGAUGAUUUAGUCUAUUGUUUGAUAUCAACAACACUGCUGUGAAAAUUUCAAGUUUUGACGUGUACUAAGCUAUUUUACGACGAAACGUAAAGAAAUGAGGUCGUAUUGAAGCUGGAACCUUUGUUUUUAGGUGCGUUGGAACAUAGAUAGUGUUGCUGUUCAUCUCUUCGAGUACAAGUAUCUCUAUGAUGUUUUCAUCAGGUCUUAGUUGUAAUCUCUCCUUCCCCAGUUGCCUGGGUUCCCCACAGGACAGUGAAGAAUUAAUACCAAAAAUGGCUCGUGAGCCAAUAAUUCUUAACGUCUAUGAUAUGUAUUGGAUGAAUGAAUAUACUACACCUAUAGGAUUGGGUGUGUUUCAUUCAGGAGUAGAGAUAUAUGGAACAGAAUAUGCAUAUGGAGGCCAUUCUAGACCAAUUUCUGGUAUAUUUGAAAUUACACCGCGUGUUGCUGAUGAACUAGGAGAUCAAUUUAGAUAUAGGCAAUCAGUACAUAUUGGUUAUACAGAUUUCACGGAAGAAGACGUGAACAGAAUUGUUGCUGAAUUAGGAAAAGAUUUUAGGGGCGAUCGUUAUCAUUUAAUGAACAAAAAUUGUAAUCACUUCAGUAGCCAACUUACACUCAUUUUAUGUGGUCAAGGAAUACCAGGUUGGGUAAAUCGUCUUGCGUACUUUAGUUCUUGUGUACCAUUCCUUCAGCGUUGUUUACCAAAGGAAUGGUUAACUCCUGACGCGCUUCAACAUUCUUUGAUCAGCUAUCAUGAAAGCACACCGCCUUCCGAUACUUCCUUGUAACAUUUAGCUCAUUCUGUGGAAAGGAGAGGUCUAAAAUGCCGUAGGAGUUACACCUUUUAGAGAAUUUAUGCAACAAACAAAGGAAGUUUGAACAGUGAAUAUAUACAUCGCCAGGAUCAUGGAAUCCAAGAAACAAAACCGUCAAAAUGAGACAAGACUUGGUUCGAAGACAAGGCAACAUAAGACAAACAGAUGCGUCUUUGAUUUUAGAACCCUUAAGUAACAAUGGCGAAAGAUAGGCGAAAAUGAUUGAUUUCCGUUGGUAAGUACAAUAACACGUACGUUACUAUAAUUUAUAAACAUACCUCGAUUACACGUCUAGAAUAGUUCUAGAACUCAUUUUUUAAACUUUUAUUUUAUUCCGAUACGGACAGCAAUACCUGUAUUAUUAUUUCUUUGUUCGAUAACAUUAACACGUUUCUUCUAUUAACGGUUUCGUCUAUACUGUAAUAUAAGAAUGUCAAACCUAUUGCGUCGAUAUAUAUAAUAUAUAUAUAUAUAUAUACUUUAUUUAUAAUAUAUAUUCUCGUGUCUUACCAUUAUACAAAUGUGAUGAAGACGACGUUUCAUGGUUUUUCUUUUUUGGUAUUAUUAUUCAUAUUGUAGUUGCAUUAUGUUAACAUUGUUGUCUAUCAACGAUGACUUUAUUUUCAAAGAGUUGGAACUUCGGUUUUUUUAUACGUAUUCGACGUGGUUUUACGAAAAUAAAAAAUUGAAUUACACGGAAUGUAAUGUGUCAAUAUUUUUACCAGUAACAUUUUCAAUAUUCCAUAAAAUUUUCGAUAGCUUCUAAACUUUUUCCGUUAAAAUUCGUUAUAAAUAUAUGAAAAUUUCAAAUGCAAGAUUUAAAUUCAGAAUUAUUAUUUUUUACACAUAUUUAAUUUUUGUGUAUUUAACAGUUGAAGUGAUACUGUAUUAAUCAUUGGCUCUUCAUACAACUGUACGACAUGCCCAAACACUUUAAGCCAAAGAACUACAUUCAAUCCCCGUAACAUUUUGUAUAAUCAAGCAACUCGGGAUUCUUGACCAUUAAAUGUUAUUCCAUAUUUUCAACUACUGGCAUAGAAUCCUGAGACAGAUAUUUUUGUUUUACCAACUCUUUUCUUCUAGUAUAGUUAGCAAAUUUUUAUAAAUGUACAUGAAAAAUGUAUAUAUUUUAUACAUUAAAACAUAUAAAAUUUGUAUGAUGUCUGUGUAUUUGUUGGAAUUUCAUUCUUGUUCGCUCUAGUCUUACAUCUAUAAAACGAAUUGAAUGCAACUGAUUAACCGUUAGGUAGUCACUACAAUUUAAAAGUAACAUGUAAUUUUUUUGGAUUAGUUAAUUUUUAAAUGUUUUAAUAUAAAAGUAAUAAAGGUGCUGUAGUAUCGUAUGGCAUUUAUGGUACCGUCUUAAAACACUUGCAAAAAGAUUAUCUGGUUCGAACUAAGCGGUAUAAUUAUAAUCUUUGUUUAGUUUUCGAUACUGUUGUCAGUCGUUAUGCGCUACACUUGUAUCCCAUACUUGAUCAACGUAUUAUUUUUUCUGUUAAAUAAAUUUUUAUAAUAUUACUUGCUGAUUAAUGAUAGCGAAAACCGUACAUUUAUAAGAGAAACAAAAUUUUUUCGUUGCAGUAAGGAUAAAUCAAUGUUCAACAUCGCUUCUUUACUGUUGUUAUAAUACUCGUUUGUUUGUGUAAAAAUGUAUAGCCACCUUGCUUAAUGACUAUCUAUUAUCAGCAGGAGCUUCCGAUACAUUGCACGAUUAUUCUAUUAUUCACACGCUGAAUAAUAUGAUGCACCUUACUGCAUUAUGACGCAAUAGAAAAUAUUUAGUCAUAAGGCAUCAGAUCGAUUCACAUCUUUCGAAAUUCGUUAUGCUGCUAAGAAUGAUUAAGUAUAUAAUUUACUCGAAACUAUUCUUUUAUACCUAGAUUCAAAAGUAGGUACGAUAGAUUAAGUAGAUUAAUUCUUUUAUUGCUAGAUAAUUUGACUGAGAUUUCGAUUUCGUUAAAUUUAAGAAAGUUAGUCGCAAUGAUUAAAAAUUAAAAUUAUGCAUACAAAAUCUGCAUUAAAAUUCAAGAAGAAACGAAAGAAACGAUACCUACUUCGGUAAUAUAUGGCAUCGUAAAGCUGGCUCGUUGAUCUUCAAACACAAAUUAUUUACAAUAAUUUAUCAUUAUAUUAAUUAUAAAUUGCCUUGUUAAGUAUAUAACUUAUUAUGCAUAAAUUCUCGAUUACCAGAAAGUUAUUGCAAUGCAUAGUCAAAAUUCAACUUAAAAUAACGUAUUCAUCAGAUCUUAAAAUGUGCAACUUCUCGAUCCAGCUGUACAUAAAAAAUAUUAUGCUUUUAGUUGUACAUUUUUAAUAUGCUUUAGUGAAAUGCACAAUAUUGAGAAAUUUAUUGCACAAAAAUUGGAGGAAGAAGAAAGAAAUGCGAUAACUUUCCAGCUGAAAAAAAAAACAAACACGGAUGUCGUUUUGCGUAAAGAUAUUACCAUAAAUACUGUAAUCCUAUCACACGAUUACAGUAACUUAUAUC